AUUGAACGCUGGCGGCAGGCCUAACACAUGCAAGUCGAACGGUAACAGGAAGAAGCUUGCUUCUUUGCUGACGAGUGGCGGACGGGUGAGUAAUGUCUGGGAAACUGCCUGAUGGAGGGGGAUAACUACUGGAAACGGUAGCUAAUACCGCAUAACGUCGCAAGACCAAAGAGGGGGACCUUCGGGCCUCUUGCCAUCGGAUGUGCCCAGAUGGGAUUAGCUAGUAGGUGGGGUAACGGCUCACCUAGGCGACGAUCCCUAGCUGGUCUGAGAGGAUGACCCGCCACACUGGAACUGAGACACGGUCCAGACUCCUACGGGAGGCAGCAGUGGGGAAUAUUGCACAAUGGGCGCAAGCCUGAUGCAGCCAUGCCGCGUGUAUGAAGAAGGCCUUCGGGUUGUAAAGUACUUUCAGCGGGGAGGAAGGGAGUAAAGUUAAUACCUUUGCGCAUUGACGUUACCCGCAGAAGAAGCACCGGCUAACUCCGUG
rnacentral:rRNA from 1 species